rnacentral:rRNA from 1 species
CCUACGGGAGGCAGCAGUGAGGAAUAUUGGUCAAUGGACGCAAGUCUGAACCAGCCAUGCCGCGUGCAGGAAGACGGCUCUAUGAGUUGUAAACUGCGUUUGUACGAGGGUAAACGCAGAUACGCGUAUCUGUCUGAAAGUAUCGUACGAAUAAGGAUCGGCUAACUCCGUGCCAGCAGCCGCGGUAAUACGGAGGAUUCAAGCGUUAUCCGGAUUUAUUGGGUUUAAAGGGUGCGUAGGCGGUCGGAUAAGUUAGAGGUGAAAUCCCGGGGCUCAACUUCGGAAUUGCCUCUGAUACUGUUCGGCUAGAGAGUAGUUGCGGUAGGCGGAAUGUAUGGUGUAGCGGUGACAGGCUUAGAGAUCAUACAGAACACCGAUUGCGAAGGCAGCUUACCAAGCUACUUCUGACGUUGAGGCACGAAAGCGUGGGGAGCAAACAGGAUUAGAUACCCCGGUAGUC